UACAGAGGGUGCAAACGUUGCUCGGCAUCACUGGGCAUAAAACGCACGUCGGCGGUUUGCUAAGUCGGAUGUGAAAUCCCUGGGCUCAACUCAGGAACUGCAUCCGAUACUGGCUGACUUGAGGACGGUUGGGGUGAGUGGAACUCCAGGUGGAGCGGUGAAAUGCAUAGAUAUCUGGAGGAACACCAGUGGCGAAAGCGGCUCACUGGACCGUAACUGACGCUGAGGUGCGAAAGCUAGGGUAGCAAACGGG
rnacentral:rRNA from 1 species